AUUGAACGCUGGCGGCAUGCUUUACACAUGCAAGUCGAACGGUAACAGGUUAAGCUGACGAGUGGCGAACGGGUGAGUAAUGCAUCGGAACGUGCCCGAUCGUGGGGGAUAACGCAGAGAAAGCUGCGCUAAUACCGCAUACGAUCUGAGGAUGAAAGCGGGGGACCGUAAGGCCUCGCGCGCUCGGAGCGGACAAUGUCAGAUUAGGUAGUUGGUGGGGUAAAGGCCCACCAAGCCGACGAUCUGUAGCUGGUCUGAGAGGACGACCAGCCACACUGGGACUGAGACACGGCCCAGACUCCUACGGGAGGCAGCAGUGGGGAAUUUUGGACAAUGGGCGAAGGCCUGAUCCAGCAAUGCCGCGUGCAGGAAGAAGGCCUUCGGGUUGUAAACUGCUUUUGUACGGAGCGAAAAGGUCCUUUCUAAUACAAGGGGCUCAUGACGGUACCGUAAGAAUAAGCACCGGCUAACUACGUGCCAGCAGCCGCAGUAA
rnacentral:rRNA from 1 species